CCCUUAGACGUUCUGGGCCGCACGCGCGCUACACUGACGAAGGCAACGAGCUACUCUUCACCGAAAGGUGUGGGUAAUCUUUUGAAACUUCGUCGUGCUGGGGAUAGAUCCUUGCAAUUUUUGAUCUUAAACGAGGAAUUCCUAGUAAGCGCAAGUCAUCAACUUGCGUUGAUUACGUCCCUGCCCUUUGUACACACCGCCCGUCGCUACUACCGAUUGAGUGGUUUAGUGAGGCCUUCGGAUCCGCGAUUUUAUUGUGGAGAAGUUGGACAAACUCAGUCAUUUAGAGGAAGUAAAAGUCGUAACA
rnacentral:rRNA from 1 species